GCCUCCGUAGCUCAGCUGGACAGAGCAAGGGCUUUCUAAUCCCGAGGUCGCGAGUUCGAGUCUCGCCGGAGGCG
rnacentral:tRNA from 1 species